rnacentral:tRNA from 1 species
GGCUGGAGAGAUGGCUCAGUGGUUAAGAGCACUGACUGCUCUUCCAGAGGUCCUGAGUUCAAUUCCCAGCAACCA